rnacentral:rRNA from 1 species
CAGUAGCCACGGUAAUACAGAGGGUGCGAGCGUUAAUCGGAUUUACUGGGCGUAAAGCGUGCGUAGGCGGCUUCUUAAGUCGGAUGUGAAAUCCCUGAGCUUAACUUAGGAAUUGCAUUCGAUACUGGGAAGCUAGAGUAUGGGAGAGGAUGGUAGAAUUCCAGGUGUAGCGGUGAAAUGCGUAGAGAUCUGGAGGAAUACCGAUGGAGAAGGCAGCCAUCUGGCCUAAUACUGACGCUGAGGUACGAAAGCAUGGGGAGCAAACAGGAUUAGAUACCCGCGUAGUCCCUGUCUCUUAUAC